rnacentral:lncRNA from 1 species
AGAAGGUCAGUUUUCUUCCUCUUCUUGAAAAAGCUUUGGGUUCCUGCAAAAUAACCCAUCCCUUAUUGCACUCCACGUCACAAGCUCGAUCGUAAAGUGGGCAAAAUUUGGUUGCCUUCCGACCUGAACCACCCAAACCCUGGGCCGUUGAGCGGUGUUCAAGCGAUGAGUGGUCAAAACACGCUGCAGUUCCUGAGGGAUUUGGUGAGUGACUCCAGCAGGUUGUCUGAAAGCAACCUUGUCCUCUACAAACCUCUUCCAAGUUACCCUGGCACACGUAGAGUGUCUUCUCAUGGAAGAGAUGCUCUUCCAAGUUCUCUGCCAGCAUUCAUCCAGUUGCAGAUUAUCCUUGCGAGGAACAAGAAGGCACCGAUGGCUAAUUAAACACGGCAAAUAUACGUCCUAGCUAGAACUGAGAACUCCCACAAGUCGCCUUUGCAAAGGCUUUGUUGGUGAUUAUGAAAGUCAAACACAUAUGAUUUUCUUCAGAGCAAGAAUAAGCCCGUGCUACAGAUAACUGCAUGUAGUCUAUGCUAAUAAAACCAGAAGUGGGCAAUAUGCUCAUUGCUGUUUGGGGAAUUGCUGUAGAUUGUGUUAGGCACUGUCAUCUUUAGGCAUAUUGAUGAUGGUCAUGGUUGCCCAAAAGAUUUUAUCACUUAUGUUGUCUGAGAACUUUCAAACAUACGUUCAAUUUUUUUUUUUUUUUUUAAUUCUCCAAGGAAAAUAAUAGAAAAUCUCCAGAUUUUUAACAUUUAACAUUUUUAACAUCUUUCUUUUAACAUUUUGGCCUUUUUCCUCUCCAUGUCCCAGUUUUUCCAUCUCCUAAACGAUGCCAAAAUCCACUUUACAGGAACGUUGGAAGGCUUUAAUGACAGAUCAGAAGUGUGCUGAGCUCCUUGCUGGAGGGUGCCAUGUGUUAUGGUUAAUAAUGCAGACCCAAGUGACAACAGGAAUUACAAAGGGUGCUGUGAUGCCAUCCCAGAACUCUGCAGGCACGUUCCGAGGUAUGACAUUCACAUUUGUGCUCUGGUGGAAAACCUGGUGUUCCCUGAGCUCUGGGGGACUCCUCCUGUCUUUGGACGUCUCUUCCAGCACAGCAGACGCCACCUGCAGCAUCCCUCCCAAGGAGCUCCGCUUUCAAGAAAUGCACACGCGAGAAAGGAAACUGGACGUGAAAUCCUUGGAGCUUUCCAGGCUGAGCGAGGCUGAGGUUGCUGGCAGGCUGGGAAGGAGCAGAGCCUGCGAGGAGGAAGCAGAUCUCCUGAGCCUCGUUAGGGAGCCAGCCCCUACGUGUCCACGCAGAAACCUUCGGUCAGAGCUUCAGCUGGCGCCCGUACCAAGCCCAUUUCACUCCCGGAUCCUGUCUAAAGGAAUUGUUCAGGGAUUUAUCUGGAAUUGUCUUUGUUACACUCCAGCAGUGCGUGACAUUUUCUCAAACACUUUCCAAAAAGCUCCCUAG